rnacentral:rRNA from 1 species
GAUGAACGCUGGCGGCGUGCUUAACACAUGCAAGUCGAACGCAGUGGCGAACGGGUGAGUAACGCGUAAUAAACCUGCCCUUCAGAGGGGGACAACAGUUGGAAACGACUGCUAAUACCGCAUACUGAAGGACGGGUUUGCGUCUGAUUCGCUAGUUGGAGGGGUAACGGCCCACCAAGGCGAUGAUCAGUAUCCGGGCGUGGUGGAUGAAUGGGAACAUUGGGACCGAGCAACGGCCCAGGUGCCUACCGGAGGCAGCAGUGGGGAAGUUUCCGCAAUGGAGGAAAGGCUGACGGCGCAAAGCCGCGUGAGUGAUGACGGCCUUCGGGUUGUAAAGCUCUGUUAAUCGGGACGCGGUACCGGAAUAGAAAGCCACGGCUAACUACGUGCCAGCAGCCGCGGUAAUUC